UGACCUGCGGAGGGUCUUACCGAGUGUGGGCUCCUGGCCCCAUGUCAAAUACUGUUUUGUUGCUUCGGCGCAUCGUCCCAGCGUCCGGGCGACCUUGGCCGGCCAGGCCUUGGGAACCAGACGGCCGCCGGCCGAGACCCCCUCUGUGUAUCUAUCUAUUCUUCUGAAUACUGAGUUGGCAAAACACAAAUGAAUCAACUUUUUCAACAACGGAUCUUGUGGUUCUGGCAUAUGAGAAAAACGCAGAAAUGUGCGAUAAGUGUGUGAAUUGCAAAAUUCAGUGAAUCAUCGUCUCUUUGAACACAUUGUGCCCCCGGCAUUUUCUGCCGGGCAUGCGUGUUAGAGCGUUGUUGAACCCUCGCGCACCCUGUGUGGAGCACCCCGUUGGGGACCGGCAGCACACAGCCGACCCCGAAAUGGAGUGGCGGCCCGUCCGCGGCGACCUCUGCGUAGUAAUUAUCACCUGCUAUCGAAACCCGACGUGGCCACGCCACACAACAACCCAUUUUCUGAACGUUGACCUCGGAUCAGGUAGGAAUACCCGCUGAACUUAAGCAUAUCAUAAGGCGGAGA
rnacentral:rRNA from 1 species